CUCGAACUGGGGCGGGCCACUGCCAGGAAAGCAACGCCCCUGAAUGCUUAUGCCGGUGGUUGGUAGAGGAAAUGGAAUUCCCCAGACUGGUAAGAGCGCGCGCAGACACAGCCUUGUCUCACGCGCCCAAUCAGGAGCGUGUGGUGGGAGGUGCCAAGGAUUAAUUACCAGAUACCUUUAGUCUAGCUCGGGCCGGGAUUUUGAGGUUUCCGGUGGAGCAGUACCUCUUGACUUGCUACUGGUACCUGGAAGAGAUGUAACACCUGACCAUGGGACAUCAAGUGACUGUGUGAAUCAAACUGCCCAUCAUGAAUUGUUGUUAUUUGACUCAUCAAACUGUACAACUGGAUGAACACAGGAGCAGUGCACUACAUAUGGGACUGGAACCAUGAAUGAGCAGGUGACUCAGACUCCUAUAGUACCUGCCUCUACUCCUUCAGCACUUCUCCCUCAACCCACAUAAACUGUCAUCAUAAUGAGUUCCCUCUGACCAGUUAAUGGAAGAGAAAAAAGUAUGGAUGUUAUGGAUAUCCUAACAUAUUUCUGGCCAUUGGACCCCUAGAAACCUGUGGCAAGUCCUGGAAGUUUUUCAAGGUUCAUCUUGCACCUUCUAGCAUGCAUAUGUCGUACCAAAGCAUGUAGAAUGCUGCCUACUUCUGCUCUUCAGUUUCAUUUAAUAUAAUUUCAUUACUCUGAUAAAUCAGUGUGAUGUUCUAUGGAAUAACAAAAGACCAUCAAGGUCCCUUCAUACCAUAUAGAGAACAGGAGAGUUGAUGUAGCCUGAGACAAGACAGUAAGGACUUACUGUUAUCCCUCCUAUUUAAACGUAGUCUGUUUCUGAUUCUCCUUAGAAUGGGGGUGGGGGGACAUUUCCAGAUCAAUAUCAGAUCAGUAUCAUGUCAACAUGGGUAUUAAUUUCUUCCGAAGAAGAUACCACACCUAGAACAGCAACCAUAAUUGGCAUCCCUACCUAAUUAAAGUUUGCAGUCCACUGUCAUUCUUCACUAGCCAUCUGGUUUUUAUAUUGUCAUUCUCUAUGAUGCAUCUGGUGGCCACAGGAAAUUUAAAUGGGAAUGUGGUAUGAAUCACCAUGGCAGCAUGGUGGCACUAAUCUCUGCAAUUCUUUUGGUUUUUCUAUUUUGCUUUUUUAUGUUUUGUAGAAAUGCAGUCUUGCCAUGUUAUAUAGGCUGGUCUCAAACUCCUGGUGUCAAGCAAUCCUCCUGCCUUGGUCCCCCUAAGUGCUGGGGUUACAGGCAUGAGCCACUGUGCCUGGCCAAUCUCUGCAAUUUCCUCAGGGAUAUAGCCCUGCUUUUCCUUUACUAUCUUAAUGAGGAGUGGUAGAAAGCAGACCUAAGCUGCUGUGUAGCACUUUCUACCAUAAUAGCAAUCCCUCCAUUGAUCAGGAAACCAAAAUAAAGAUUGUUGUUAAAAGAUACAUAUUACCACUACACAUCUGGGACUGGAGAAAUAGCCACAGUAUGGGUCCUUCUGGAUCUACUGUUAGCCACAGCCAGGCCAAGAUUCCAUCACUUGACUUCCUUAGGUUCCCUAUUCUGACCAGUUGUCCAGGGUAGAGUUUUGGGUUUCUAGUAUUAGUACAAGUUAAGAGACAGUGCCUUAAGAAUUCUAGCCAGCCUGGGCCGGGCGGUGGGUCACGCCUGUAAUCUCAGCACUUUGGGAGGCCGAGGUGGGUGGAUCACGAGGUCAGCAGAUCGAGACCAUCCUGGAUAACAUGGUGAAACCCUGUCUCUACUAAAAAUACAAAAAAAUUUACCUA
rnacentral:lncRNA from 10 species